GCUAUCACUUCAUAGAUGGACCCGCGCCGUAUUAGCUAGUUGGUAAGGUAACGGCUUACCAAGGCAACGAUACGUAGCCGACCUGAGAGGGUGAUCGGCCACACUGGAACUGAGACACGGUCCAGACUCCUACGGGAGGCAGCAGUAGGGAAUCUUCCGCAAUGGGCGAAAGCCUGACGGAGCAACGCCGCGUGAGUGAUGAAGGGUUUCGGCUCGUAAAACUCUGUUAUUAGGGAAGAACAAACGUGUAAGUAACUGUGCACGUCUUGACGGUACCUAAUCAGAAAGCCACGGCUAACUACGUGCCAGCAGCCGCGGUAAUACGUAGGUGGCAAGCGUUAUCCGGAAUUAUUGGGCGUAAAGCGCGCGUAGGCGGUUUCUUAAGUCUGAUGUGAAAGCCCACGGCUCAACCGUGGAGGGUCAUUGGAAACUGGGAAACUUGAGUGCAGAAGAGGAAAGUGGAAUUCCAUGUGUAGCGGUGAAAUGCGCAGAGAUAUGGAGGAACACCAGUGGCGAAGGCGACUUUCUGGUCUGUAACUGACGCUGAUGUGCGAAAGCGUGGGGAUCAAACAGGAUUAGAUACCCUGGUAGUCCACGCCGUA
rnacentral:rRNA from 1 species